CCUACGGUGGGCAGCAGUGGGGGAUAUUGGACAAUGGGGGAAACCCUGAUCCAGCGACGCCGCGUGAGUGAAGAAGUAUUUCGGUAUGUAAAGCUCUGUCAGCAGGGAAGAAAGAAAUGACGGUACCUGACCAAGAAGCCCCGGCUAACUACGUGGCAGCAGCCGCGGUAAUACGUAGGGGGCAAGCGUUAUCCGGAAUUACUGGGUGUAAAGGGAGCGUAGACGGUGUUGCAAGUAUGGAGUGAAAGGCGGUGGCCCAACCCCCGGACUGCUCUGGAAACUGUGUAACUUGAGUGCAGGAGAGGUAAGCGGAAUUCCUAGUGUAGCGGUGAAAUGCGUAGAUAUUAGGAGGAACACCAGUGGCGAAGGCGGCUUACUGGACUGUAACUGACGUUGAGGCUCGAAAGCGUGGGGAGCAAACAGGAUUAGAUACCCGAGUAGUC
rnacentral:rRNA from 1 species